rnacentral:misc_RNA from 1 species
GAAAUGCGAUAAGUAAUGUGAAUUGCAGAAUUCAGUGAAUCAUCGAAUCUUUGAACGCACCUUGCGCUCCUUGGUAUUCCUUGGAGCAUGCCUGUUUGAGUAUCAUGAAAUCUUCAAAGUAAAUCUUUUGUUAACUCAAUUGGUUUCUACUUUGGUAUUGGAGGUCUUUGCAGCUUCACACCUGCUCCUCUUUGUUCAUUAGCUGGAUCUCAGUGUUAUGCUUGGUUCCACUCGGCGUGAUAAGGUAUCUAUCGCUGAGGACACUGUAAAAGGUGGCCAAGGUAAAUGCAGAUGAACCGCUUCUAAUAGUCCAUUGACUUGGACAAUACUUUUAUGAUCUGAUCUCAAAUCAGGUAGGACUACCCGCUGAACUUAAGC